rnacentral:tRNA from 1 species
AAAAAGAUAAGCUAAAUUUAAGCUUUUGGGUUCAUACCCCAACUAUAAAGCGUCCCUUUUCUUUUUA